rnacentral:rRNA from 1 species
CUACGGGACGCUCCAGUGGGGAAUAUUGCACAAUGGGCGCAAGCCUGAUGCAGCAACGCCGCGUGAGUGAUGAAGGCUUUCGAGUCGUAAAACUCUUUUCUUGAGGAAGAAACUUGACGGUACUCAAGGAAUAAGCCCCGGCUAAUUACGUGCCAGCAGCCGCGGUAAUACGUAAGGGGCAAGCGUUAUCCGGAAUCACUGGGCGUAAAGGGUGCGUAGGUGGUCUUGUAAGUCAGAAGUGAAAGGCUACGGCUUAACCGUAGUAAGCUUUUGAAACUGCAGGACUUGAGUGCAGGAGAGGAAAGUGGAAUUCCUAGUGUAGCGGUGAAAUGCGUAGAUAUUAGGAGGAACACCAGUGGCGAAGGCGACUUUCUGGACUGUAACUGACACUGAGGCACGAAAGCGUGGGGAGCGAACAGGAUUAGAUACCCGAGUAGUC